CCGCUCCGGGCCUGCGCUGCGGCGUCGCCUCUUCCGGUCGUGCGCCACCGCGCGUCUUCCUCAGACUUUCCCGGGAGCAACGUAGUCGUGCCUUGAAGUCCCUGGGCUUUGCGAGGUCAAAUUCUUAGUCCUUAUUUUAUUUAUUGCCGUACUUCACACUGAAGUAACCCAUGUUUUAGCCUAAGCCUGUCACGUGUCUCUGAAUUCUAAAGCCUUAGACGAAGAACCCAGAGACCAUCUACCAUAUUAUGAAGAUGGAAGACCAUGUGGAGGAACCCAGCUGUUUCAGCUGAGCCCAGACAACAGCCAGGGGAAUACAGCUGCGGAAGUGAGCCUAGGAGAGACCAGGAGAGCCACCAGACUAAGUUGUUUUGACCUAUUGUUUUGGGGUGAUGUGUUACAUAGCAUUGGAUGAUACAAAAGGACUUGGUGAUUAUUGGUUGGGGAGCAGGAAGUUCCUGAUGAAUCCAGAUUUCUGCCUCAGGCCAGACAAUUAUAAUGCCAUUUCAUGAGAUAAAGGAAAAGCCAAGAGCAGAACAUGAGUUUUUUGGAGUGGUGAUGUUUGGUGGUAGUACAAGAUGAUAGGUUCAAUUUUGGAUAUAUUGAGUACAUGGUUCCUUGAAGACAUCCCAAGUGCAAGUGCCAUGUGGGCAGUUGUUUCUACAACCCUGGAGCUCAAAAACUGGGUCUUGGUAUAGAUUUUGGAAUUGUCAGCAGAAAGAAAGCCAGAGGAAUGAACAAGAUUCCCCACAGUAGAGAAAGAAGAAGAAAUGACCCAAAACAGAGCUAUGAGGAACACUCACAAUGGCCAGAGUAAAGGAAGACCAAUGAGUGUGGUGUGUCACUUCAGUUAUCAGAAGAAUGGUUAGAGGAAGGGACUGUUUAUAUUGUUAAAUGCUGUUGAGGGGUCAAAUAUAAUGUGUUUUUUUGGGGCCCCUGAGUGGUGCAGUUGAUUGAGCAUCUGACUCUUGGUUUCGGCUCAGGUCAUGAGAUCAAGCCCUACGUUGGGCUCUAAGCCAAGUGGGGAGUCCACCUCUCCACCACCCCAUCCUUACCCCUCUCCUUGGGUAUAUUUCAGUUUUGCAAGAUCCAAGAGAUGGAUAGUGGUGGGUGGUGGUUGUACAUUAUGAAUGUAUUUAAUAUACUGUACACCUAAAAAUGGUUAAGAUGGUAAACUUGUUGUAUUUUA